rnacentral:rRNA from 1 species
GACGAACGCUGGCGGCGUGCCUAAUACAUGCAAGUAGAACGCUGAAGGAGGAGCUUGCUUCUCUGCAUGAGUUGCGAACGGGUGAGUAACGCGUAGGUAACCUGCCUGGUAGCGGGGGAUAACUAUUGGAAACGAUAGCUAAUACCGCAUAAGAGUAGAUGUUGCAUGACAUUUGCUUAAAAGGUGCAAUUGCAUCACUACCAGAUGGACCUGCGUUGUAUUAGCUAGUUGGUGGGGUAACGGCUCACCAAGGCGACGAUACAUAGCCGACCUGAGAGGGUGAGCGGCCACACUGGGACUGAGACACGGCCCAGACUCCUACGGGAGGCAGCAGUAGGGAAUCUUCGGCAAUGGACGGAAGUCUGACCGAGCAACGCCGCGUGAGUGAAGAAGGUUUUCGGAUCGUAAAGCUCUGUUGUAAGAGAAGAACGAGUGUGAGAGUGGAAAGUUCACACUGUGACGGUAUCUUACCAGAAAGGGACGGCUAACUACGUG